UACGUAGGGUGCGAGCGUUGUCCGGAAUUAUUGGGCGUAAAGAGCUUGUAGGCGGUUUGUCGCGUCUGCCGUGAAAAUCCGGGGCUCAACCCCGGACUUGCGGUGGGUACGGGCAGACUAGAGUGUGGUAGGGGAGACUGGAAUUCCUGGUGUAGCGGUGAAAUGCGCAGAUAUCAGGAGGAACACCAAUGGCGAAGGCAGCUCGCUGGAACGGUACUGACGCUGAGGCGCGAAAGCGUGGGGAGCGAACAGG
rnacentral:rRNA from 1 species